rnacentral:tRNA from 1 species
GCCUGGGUGGCUCAGUUUAAGCACCUGACUUCGGCUCAGGUCAUGAUCCCAUAGGUUGGUGGGUUCGAGUCCCACAUCGGGCU